rnacentral:rRNA from 1 species
UACGUAGGGGGCAAGCGUUGUCCGGAAUCAUUGGGCGUAAAGAGCGUGUAGGCGGCUUGGUAAGUCCGCUGUGAAAGUCCAGGGCUCAACCCUGGAAAGCCGGUGGAAACUGUCAAGCUUGAGUCCGGAAGAGGCGAGUGGAAUUCCUGGUGUAGCGUUGAAAUGCGCAGAUAUCAGGAGGAACACCAAUGGCGAAGGCAGCUCGCUGGGACGGUACUGACGCUGAGACGCGAAAGCGUGGGGAGCAAACAGG